UACGAAGGGGGCUAGCGUUGUUCGGAAUUACUGGGCGUAAAGCGCACGUAGGCGGAUACUUAAGUUAGGGGUGAAAUCCCAGGGCUCAACCCUGGAACUGCCUUUAAUACUGGGUAUCUUGAGUUCGAGAGAGGUGAGUGGAAUUCCGAGUGUAGAGGUGAAAUUCGUAGAUAUUCGGAGGAACACCAGUGGCGAAGGCGGCUCACUGGCUCGAUACUGACGCUGAGGUGCGAAAGCGUGGGGAGCAAACGGG
rnacentral:rRNA from 1 species